rnacentral:rRNA from 1 species
AUGGCGAUUGAACCUCUCCGUGAUAAUCUGGACGCUGCCGCAGGAACCGACCAACCAUACCAUGGUGAUUCCUCUUCCCAGCAGCAACUCCCCGUGUACAAUUACAACCUGAGUGGUUCACACUUCUUGGCCCAGCCAACCACUGGACCAAGAACAUACUUGUAUGGUGCAGACAUCAGCCCUGGAUUGUGCAAUGUCAACAGCAGCCUUGGACAAAACCAAAUUCAGAUUGCUGCAGGGGGUAGCCCUGAGCACCACCGGAUCAGACCAAACGAUGCACUUCACUACAUAAGCCAGAUGCUGAUGGAAGACGUUGACGAGGGGGUCGACACAUGUCAAGGGGAGGCUGCUCUCCAGGCUGCCGAGAAGCCAUUCCGUGACAUUCUUGGUGAGGCAUACGCGCCGCCUACUAACUGGUCGACAUUGCAUAGCAACAACAAACCAGACAAACCUGAUAAGAGUGGCACCAGCUCCCCGUCGAGUCCACAUAUCUGCAAUAGUGGUCUUUCUCUACAAAACCGUCCGUUGAUAAGUGUUGGAUCGACUUCCAGAUCUGGUUUCCCCGCCUUGCAUUGUCACGGAGGUGUCGAGGAGGAAAAGACGUUUGCUCCAAGUAUUGAUAAGCUGGUGAUGUAUUUAGAGAACGGCAUACUUUAUAUUUCCCAACUGACUAUGAAAGCAAAAGUAGGAGAGAGGAGCAAAAAUGCGAUAUUUGAGGCGGCAGACCAAAGGGAUUGGGAUAUCUCUCAAGGAAGGAGCAAUAAACAUCAUGCCAUCGCCCUUGUUAAAAUAAUUCGAAGCGAAAAUUUCGACCGAGUUCUGCUAUGCUAUGGCCGGAAGAGUUUCGAUCUAAUAACAAGACUGCGAGAAAGGAUGGCGGGGGAAGGAAACAAGAACUCACUGAAAGGCCGGAGCAAAGGACGUCAGAAGCUAUGGGCUAGGAAGCAACCGAGGAAAGAAUUGGUUGAUCUCAGGAUUCUCCUUGUCCAUUGCGCACAAGCAGUGGCAGAAGAUAACCACCUGUUGGCCAGUGAACUCCUAAAAAAGAUAAGACAACACUCCUCAGCAGAUGGUGAUUGUACUCAGAGACUGGCAUUUUACUUGGCGGAUGGCCUUGAGGCACGCUUGGCUGGGACCGGGAGUCAUGUUUAUGGCAAUCUCAUGGAAAGGCGAACAAGUGCAACAGAUUGGUUAGAGGCUUACAGGCUUUUUAUUGCAGCUUGCCCUUUCAUAAGGGCGUCAUACUACUUUGCCAACCAAACUAUUCUUGAUGUCUCACAAAGGCAACAAAGGGUGCACAUCGUCGAUUUCGGCAUCGGCUUCGGCUUUCAGUGGCCAUUAAUGAUUCAGAAGUUUGCACGGCGAGAAGAGGGAGCCCCUAUGCUUCGGAUCACAGGCAUAGAAGUUCCCCAGCCAGGUUUCCACCCCUGCGAAAUGAUCGAGGAGACAGGGAAGCGGUUGGCUGAUUAUGCAAACAUGUUCAAGGUACCUUUUCAGUAUCAGGGCAUUGCCGCUUCAAGAUGGGAGACCAUUAAAAUUGAGGAUCUUAACAUCGAGGAGGAUGAAGUUCUCAUAAUCAACUGCAUAUUCCGGAUGAAGAAUCUCGGUCAUGAAACCGAGGCCAUAAAUAGCACAAGGGAUGAGGUGCUGAAAACUAUGAGGAGGAUGAACCCAAAGGUUUUUAUUUCUGGCACCGUGAAUGGGUUACAUAGUUCUCCCUUCUUCAUACAACGAUUCAAGGAGACUAUGCUCCAUUACUCUUCAGUGUUUGAGAUGCUUGAUGCAAAUGUUCCACGGGAUAAUGAAGCAAGAAAGAUGCUUGAGAGGAUCCCAUUUGGGCGGGAUGCACUUAACAUAAUAGCAUGUGAGGAUGCAGAAAGGACCCAGAGGCCAGAAAGUUACCGACAGUGGCAAGCAAGGUGCCUCAAGGCUGGGUUCCAGCAGCUUCCUGUGGUUCAGGCCGUCUUAAAGAACAUAGUACACAUGCAGAACUUACAUUAUCAUCAGGAAUUCUUUGCUGUUGAAGAUUGCGGCUGGCUGCUACAAGGGUGGAAAGGGAGAGUAAUUUAUGCUAUAUCUAAAUGGAAACCUAAUGAAACACAUGGUGAUCAGUAA